rnacentral:rRNA from 1 species
GACGAACGCUGGCGGCGUGCUUAACACAUGCAAGUCGAACGAGACGAUUGAAAGCUUGCUUUUAAAAGUCGAGUGGCAAACGGGUGAGUAACGCGUAGACAACCUGCCUUUGAGAUGGGGACAACAGUUCGAAAGGACUGCUAAUACCGAAUGUUGUAUAUUUUCCACAUGGAAGAUAUAUUAAAGAUGGCCUCUAUUUAUAAGCUAUCGCCCAAAGAUGGGUCUGCGUCUGAUUAGCUGGUUGGUCGGGUAACGGCCUACCAAGGCGACGAUCAGUAGCCGGUCUGAGAGGAUGAACGGCCACAUUGGGACUGAGACACGGCCCAGACUCCUACGGGAGGCAGCAGUGGGGAAUCUUCCACAAUGGACGAAAGUCUGAUGGAGCAACGCCGCGUGAGUGAAGAAGGGUUUCGGCUCGUAAAGCUCUGUUGUCGGGGACGAAUGUGCAGUAUUUGAAUAAAGUACUGCAAUGACGGUACCUGACGAGGAAGCCGCGGCUAACUACGUGCCAGCAGCCGCAGUAA